rnacentral:rRNA from 1 species
UACGUAGGGUGCAAGCGUUGUCCGGAAUUAUUGGGCCUAAAGCAUCCGUAGCCGGUUCUACAAGUCUUCCGUUAAAUCCACCUGCUUAACAGAUGGGCUGCGGAAGAUACUAUAGAGCUAGGAGGCGGGAGAGGCAAGCGGUACUCGAUGGGUAGGGGUAAAAUCCGUUGAUCCAUUGAAGACCACCAGUGGCGAAGGCGGCUUGCCAGAACGCGCUCGACGGUGAGGGAUGAAAGCUGGGGGAGCAAACCGG